CCUACGGGAGGUUGCAGUGGGGAAUAUUGCACAAUGGGCGCAAGCCUGAUGCAGCCAUGCCGCGUGUGUGAAGAAGGCCUUCGGGUUGUAAAGCACUUUCAGCGGGGAGGAAGGCGUUAAGGUUAAUAACCUUGUCGAUUGACGUUACCCGCAGAAGAAGCACCGGCUAACUCCGUGCCAGCAGCCGCGGUAAUACGGAGGGUGCAAGCGUUAAUCGGAAUCACUGGGCGUAAAGCGCACGCAGGCGGUCUGUCAAGUCGGAUGUGAAAUCCCCGGGCUCAACCUGGGAACUGCAUUCGAAACUGGCAGGCUAGAGGCUUGUAGAGGGGGGUAGAAUUCCAGGUGUAGCGGUGAAAUGCGUAGAGAUCUGGAGGAAUACCGGGGGCGAAGGCGGCCCCCUGGACAAAGACUGACGCUCAGGUGCGAAAGCGUGGGGAGCAAACAGGAUUAAUACCCUAGUAGUC
rnacentral:rRNA from 1 species